UACGUAGGGUGCAAGCGUUAAUCGGAAUUACUGGGCGUAAAGCGUGCGCAGGCGGUUUUGUAAGUCAGAUGUGAAAUCCCCCGGGCUUAACCUGGGAACUGCGUUUGAAACUACAAGGCUAGAGUGUGGCAGAGGGGGGUGGAAUUCCACGUGUAGCAGUGAAAUGCGUAGAGAUGUGGAGGAACACCGAUGGCGAAGGCAGCCCCCCUGGGUUAACACUGACGCUCAGGCACGAAAGCGUGGGGAGCAAACAGG
rnacentral:rRNA from 1 species